UACGGAAGGCAGCAGUGGGGAAUAUUGCACAAUGGGCGCAAGCCUGAUGCAGCCAUGCCGCGUGUAUGAAGAAGGCCUUCGGGUUGUAAAGUACUUUCAGUCGUGAGGAAGGUGUUAAGGUUAAUAACCUUAGCAAUUGACGUUAGCGACAGAAGAAGCACCGGCUAACUCCGUGCCAGCAGCCGCGGUAAUACGGAGGGUGCGAGCGUUAAUCGGAAUUACUGGGCGUAAAGGGCACGCAGGCGGUUAAUUAAGUUGGAUGUGAAAUCCCCGGGCUUAACCUGGGAAUGGCAUUCAAGACUGGUUAGCUAGAGUCUUGUAGAGGGGGUAGGAAUUCCAUGUGUAGCGGUGAAAUGCGUAGAGAUGUGGAGGAAUAACCGGUGGCGAAGGCGGCCCCGUCGGAGAAACGAACGUCGACGGC
rnacentral:rRNA from 1 species